UUACUUAAAGAAGCAUAUUUAUCAACUUCCUAAGGCAGGGGUCCUCAAACUACGGACGGAUGCGGCCCCCUGUGGCCAUUUACCCGGCCCCCUUCCCCUGCUGCCAUGGGCUGUAGUUUGAGGCAUGAAUAAAUGAGUUGCAGUCAGUCUCCUCCGUCUACUACUGUGUCUGUGUUUUGCUCUGGCCAACGCGUCACCGCGUCUCCAUGUAACGCUGCGUAACACGGUGAUGCGCUGGGCAGAGCAGAACGCCAACAUAGUAGUAGACGGAGGAGACUGACUGCACCAUCACCGUGUUACACGCCGACUCGCUGGGGAAGAGCAUAACAGGGACACUGAAUCGGGCGUCCUUUUAUUAAUGGUGGUGUACAAUAGUUUAACUCUAUCUUGUACUGCAUUUUUCCUUAGAUAGCCUCUUGGACCCCUCACUAGGAAUCAUGGGACUAUGAUGCAAUGUGAGAGGUGUGGCACCCACUUAUUUCAAGCCCAGCAAGGGAUUGGUGGGGUGAUGAAACAGUUGGCUGAAAUGUCUUUCUUCCAAUCGCCUUUGGGGUUCUUCUUGUCUCCACGUUUUUAGAUCUAGCGCCAAUAAUACAAUCACCGGAAGUGCAAUAUUCCUAUGCCUUACUGUUUAUGCUGAGCAGCAUGCUCAUUUAUUUCCCCUGUGUUCAUUUUAAUCUGCGGGUCCCAUACUUUAAUGCAAUCGCUUGCUACUUACAGCUGUUGAUGGAGAUGGCACCCACAGAUAUAUUUGAAGAUCCCAAAAGCCAAUAAGAAGUAUUUGUAUAUUAAUUAUCUGUGCUUUUAUUAUUCAGAGAUUGCACUGGCACAUCGGUGAUGUCUAUGGAUAUGGGAAAUUUUGUUCUAACUGUAGCUGAAAACAUAAACAUAGCUUUACAAAGAUAUUAUAAUUGUUAAAUAUUUAAUUGUUCAGUAAAUUUCAUUAUCAAACCAUGUCUGUAAAAGAAAUCUGAUAACAGAAUUAUACAAGUGGACAUUUUUCACAUAAUAAUACUUAGAGCAAGCUUAAGAUUUUAAAAGAGAAAUUGCAGGGAUGGACUUUUUUGAUAUCAGACUCACAUCAUUUAUGAUACUUUACUCUGAUCCUUAAAACUGAAAUGUAGGUGCACCUUUAUCACAGAGUAAAACACUAGAGAUUGCCAUGGAUUCUGCCGCUCAUUAUUUACUGCUAUGGGAUUUUAAAAUUAUUAUUUAUCAAGGGGACCAUAGUCUGCUUAAAUACUAGAAUGACUUUCCUCUCUCCAAUCCAGUGGUACUGCAGCAAGUGAAAGAGAAAACCAGGAAUCGUGGUUGAGCUAAAAGUGAACUAGUCAUUUCCAUGCCUACAUCAGUUUAGACGUUAAAGUAAUACUGGGUGAUGUAGUUUCUUUGUCUGUGAGUUUCUAUUGCAGAAUUUAGAUUUUAUUUCCAUAGAAAUGGGCUCACAGUCAAGAACAGAUGGCAAAUAAUAAAAGCAACUGAUGCAGAAACAGUGCAUCAACAUACUAUUGUUUCAUUAUUUUCAUUAUCUGCAACAAAAAUAAAUGGGUAAUAGAUUUGAAAAACAAA